AUUGAACGCUGGCGGCAGGCCUAACACAUGCAAGUCGAACGAGUGGCGGCCGGGUGAGUACGGGCUGGGAAACUGCCUGAUCGAGCGGGACAACUACUGGAAACGGUAGCUAAUACCGCAUACCAUCAGAUGUGCCCAGGUUGGAUUAGUUUGUUGGUGGGGUAACGGCUACCCCAGGCGACGAUCCCUAGCUGGUCUGAGAGGAUGACCAGCCACACUGGGAGUGAGACACGGUCCAGAGUCCUACGGGAGGCAGCAGUGGGGAAUCUUGCACAAUGGGCGCAAGCCUGAUGCAGCCAUGCCGCGUGUGUGAAGAAGGCCUUCGGGUUGUAAAGUACUGUCGGCAGGGAGGCGUUACCCGCAGAAGAAGCACCGGCUAACUACGUGACAGCAGCCGCGGUAAUAC
rnacentral:rRNA from 1 species